rnacentral:rRNA from 1 species
GACGAACGCUGUCGGCGUGCUUAACACAUGCAAGUCGAACGGAAAGGCCCUGCUUUUGUGGGGUGCUCGAGUGGCGAACGGGUGAGUAACACGUGAGUAACCUGCCCUUGACUUUGGGAUAACUUCAGGAAACUGGGGCUAAUACCGGAUAGGAGCUCCUGCUGCAUGGUGGGGGUUGGAAAGUUUCGGCGGUUGGGGAUGGACUCGCGGCUUAUCAGCUUGUUGGUGGGGUAGUGGCUUACCAAGGCUUUGACGGGUAGCCGGCCUGAGAGGGUGACCGGCCACAUUGGGACUGAGAUACGGCCCAGACUCCUACGGGAGGCAGCAGUGGGGAAUAUUGCACAAUGGGCGGAAGCCUGAUGCAGCAACGCCGCGUGCGGGAUGACGGCCUUCGGGUUGUAAACCGCUUUCGCCUGUGACGAAGCGUGAGUGACGGUAAUGGGUAAAGAAGCACCGGCUAACUACGUGCCAGCAGCCGCGGUGAUACGUAGGGUGCGAGCGUUGUCCGGAUUUAUUGGGCGUAAAGGGCUCGUAGGUGGUUGAUCGCGUCGGAAGUGUAAUCUUGGGGCUUAACCCUGAGCGUGCUUUCGAUACGGGUUGACUUGAGGAAGGUAGGGGAGAAUGGAAUUCCUGGUGGAGCGGUGGAAUGCGCAGAUAUCAGGAGGAACACCAGUGGCGAAGGCGGUUCUCUGGGCCUUUCCUGACGCUGAGGAGCGAAAGCGUGGGGAGCGAACAGGCUUAGAUACCCUGGUAGUCCACGCUGUAAACGGUGGGUACUAGGUGUGGGGUCCAUUCCACGGGUUCCGUGCCGUAGCUAACGCUUUAAGUACCCCGCCUGGGGAGUACGGCCGCAAGGCUAAAACUCAAAGGAAUUGACGGGGCCCCGCACAAGCGGCGGAGCAUGCGGAUUAAUUCGAUGCAACGCGUAGAACCUUACCUGGGUUUGACAUGGAUCGGGAGUGCUCAGAGAUGGGUGUGCCUCUUUUGGGGUCGGUUCACAGGUGGUGCAUGCCUGUCGUCAGCUCGUGUCGUGAGAUGUUGGGUUAAGUCCCGCAACGAGCGCAACCCUUGUUCACUGUUGCCAGCACGUUAUGGUGGGGACUCAGUGGAGACCGCCGGGGUCAACUCGGAGGAAGGUGGGGAUGACGUCAAGUCCUCAUGCCCCUUAUGUCCAGGGCUUCACGCAUGCUACAAUGGCUGGUACAGAGAGUGGCGAGCCUGUGAGGGUGACCGAAUCUCGGAAAGCCGGUCUCAGUUCGGAUUGGGGUCUGCAACUCGACCUCAUGAAGUCGGAGUCGCUAGUAAUCGCAGAUCAGCAACGCUGCGGUGAAUACGUUCCCGGG